AGAGUUUGAUCCUGGCUCAGGACGAACGCUGGCGGCGUGCCUAACACAUGCAAGUCGAGCGGGGAGAAAUAUUCGUAUUUCUCUUUAGCGGCGGACGGGUGAGUAACACGUGGGUAACCUGCCUCAAAGUGGGGGAUAGCCUUCCGAAAGGAAGAUUAAUACCGCAUAAUAUCAUGGCGCUGCAUGGCGCAGUGAUUAAAGGAGCAAUCCGCUUUGAGAUGGACCCGCGGCGCAUUAGCUAGUUGGUGAGGUAACGGCCCACCAAGGCGACGAUGCGUAGCCGACCUGAGAGGGUGAUCGGCCACAUUGGAACUGAGACACGGUCCAGACUCCUACGGGAGGCAGCAGUGGGGAAUAUUGCACAAUGGGGGAAACCCUGAUGCAGCAACGCCGCGUGAGUGAUGAAGGCCUUCGGGUCGUAAAGCUCUUUGAUCAGGGACGAUAAUGACGGUACCUGAAAAACAAGCCACGGCUAACU
rnacentral:rRNA from 1 species